CAACGGCGUCUAUACAUGCAAGUCGAGCGGACAGAAGGGAGCUUGCUCCCGGAUGUUAGCGGCGGACGGGUGAGAAACACGUGGGUAACCUGCCUGUAAGACUGGGAUAACUCCGGGAAACCGGAGCUAAUACCGGAUAGUUCCUUGAACCGCAUGGUUCAAGGAUGAAAGACGGUUUCGGCUGUCACUUACAGAUGGACCCGCGGCGCAUUAGCUAGUUGGUGGGGUAAUGGCUCACCAAGGCGACGAUGCGUAGCCGACCUGAGAGGGUGAUCGGCCACACUGGGACUGAGACACGGCCCAGACUCCUACGGGAGGCAGCAGUAGGGAAUCUUCCGCAAUGGACGAAAGUCUGACGGAGCAACGCCGCGUGAGUGAUGAAGGUUUUCGGAUCGUAAAGCUCUGUUGUUAGGGAAGAACAAGUGCGAGAGUAACUGCUCGCACCUUGACGGUACCUAACCAGAAAGCCACGGCUAACUACGUGCCAGCAGCCGCGGUAAUACGUAGGUGGCAAGCGUUGUCCGGAAUUAUUGGGCGUAAAGGGCUCGCAGGCGGUUUCUUAAGUCUGAUGUGAAAGCCCCCGGCUCAACCGGGGAGGGUCAUUGGAAACUGGGAAACUUGAGUGCAGAAGAGGAGAGUGGAAUUCCACGUGUAGCGGUGAAAUGCGUAGAGAUGUGGAGGAACACCAGUGGCGAAGGCGACUCUCUGGUCUGUAACUGACGCUGAGGAGCGAAAGCGUGGGGAGCGAACAGGAUUAGAUACCCUGGUAGUCCACGCCGUAAACGAUGAGUGCUAAGUGUUAGGGGGUUUCCGCCCCUUAGUGCUGCAGCUAACGCAUUAAGCACUCCGCCUGGGGAGUACGGUCGCAAGACUGAAACUCAAAGGAAUUGACGGGGGCCCGCACAAGCGGUGGAGCAUGUGGUUUAAUUCGAAGCAACGCGAAGAACCUUACCAGGUCUUGACAUCCUCUGACAACCCUAGAGAUAGGGCUUUCCCUUCGGGGACAGAGUGACAGGUGGUGCAUGGUUGUCGUCAGCUCGUGUCGUGAGAUGUUGGGUUAGUCCGCACGAGCGCACCCCUUGAUCUAGCUGCAGCAUUCAGUUGGGCACUCUACUUGACUGCGGUGACAACCGAGGAAGUGGGAAUGAACGUCAAUCAUCAUGCCUCCU
rnacentral:rRNA from 1 species